rnacentral:tRNA from 1 species
GGGUUAUUAGUGUAAUGGUAGCACGAAAGUCUGUGACACUUUAAGAGUAAGUUCAAUUCUUACAUUUCCCA